GUGUUGGCUUUGGCAGCACUUUCUAAAAUUAGAAUAAUGCAGACAAGAUUAACACAGCUCCUGCAUAUAGAUUACAGAAAAUUUUAUGAAGCAUUUCAUAUUUUU
rnacentral:snRNA from 1 species